UACGUAGGGGGGCAAGCGUUGUCCGGAAUUAUUGGGCGUAAAGCGCGCGCAGGCGGCUUUGUAAGUCUGGUGUUUAAACCUAGGGCUCAACCCUGGGUCGCAUUGGAAACUGCAAGGCUUGAGUGCAGAAGAGGAGAGUGGAAUUCCACGUGUAGCGGUGAAAUGCGUAGAGAUGUGGAGGAACACCAGUGGCGAAGGCGACU
rnacentral:rRNA from 1 species